rnacentral:rRNA from 1 species
AUUGAACGCUGGCGGCAGGCCUAACACAUGCAAGUCGAACGAGUGGCGGACGGGUGAGUAAUGUCUGGGAAACUGCCUGAUGGAGGGGGAUAACUACUGGAAACGGUAGCUAAUACCGCAUACCAUCGGAUGUGCCCAGAUGGGAUUAGCUAGUCGGUGGGGUAAAGGCUCACCUAGGCGACGAGCCCUAGCUGGUCUGAGAGGAUGACCAGACACACUGGAACUGAGACACGGGCCAGACUCCUACGGGAGGCAGCAGUGGGGAAUAUUGCACAAUGGGCGCAAGCCUGAUGCAGCCAUGCCGCGUGUAUGAAGAAGGCAUUCGGGUUGUAAAGUACUUUCAGCGUGGAGGCGUUACCCGCAGAAGAAGCACCGGCUAACUCCGUGCCAGCAGCCGCGGUAAUUC